rnacentral:rRNA from 1 species
GUCGAACGAGAAAGUUCCUUCGGGAGCAAUUAAAGUGGCGCACGGGUGAGUAACGCGUAGACAAUCUGCCCUUCAGUCUGGGACAACUUUUCGAAAGGAGAGCUAAUACCGGAUAACAAUGCAUGACACAAGUUGUAUAUUUGAAAGCUUUAUGUGCUGAAGGAGGGGUCUGCGUCCCAUUAGCUAGUUGGUAGGGUAAAGGCUUACCAAGGCAACGAUGGGUAGCGGGUUUGAGAGGACGAUCCGCCACACUGGAACUGAGACACGGUCCAGACUCCUACGGGAGGCAGCAGUGGGGAAUAUUGCACAAUGGAGGAAACUCUGAUGCAGCAAUGUCGCGUGAGUGAAGAAGGCCCUUGGGUCGUAAAGCUCUUUUAUGGGGGAAGAUGAUGACGGUACCCCAAGAAUAAGCACCGGCUAACUAUGUGCCAGCAGCCGCGGUAAUACAUAGGGUGCGAGCGUUGUUCGGAAUUACUGGGCGUAAAGGGCGCGCAGGCGGAAUAGUAAGUCGGAGGUGAAAGCCCGGGGCUCAACCCCGGAGAGUCUUUCGAAACUACUAAUCUAGAGAGGGUCAGGGGCCGGCAGAAUUCCUGGUGUAGAGGUGAAAUUCGUAGAUAUCAGGAGGAAUACCGGUGGCGAAGGCGGCCGGCUGGGGCCACUCUGACGCUGAGGCGCGAAAGCGUGGGGAGCAAACAGGAUUAGAUACCCUGGUAGUCCACGCCGUAAACGAUGAGCACUGGACGUCCGGAGGGUUCGACCCUUCUGGGUGUCUCAGCUAACGCAUUAAGU